rnacentral:rRNA from 1 species
GUAGGGGGCAAGCGUUGUCCGGAAUCAUUGGGCGUAAAGAGCGUGUAGGCGGCUUGGCAAGUCUGACGUGAAAUCCCGCGGCUCAACCGCGGUCGGUCGUUGGAAACUGCCUGGCUAGAGUCCGGAAGAGGAGAGUGGAAUUCCUGGUGUAGCGGUGGAAUGCGCAGAUAUCAGGAGGAACACCCGUGGCGAAGGCGGCUCUCUGGGACGGUACUGACGCUGAGACGCGAAAGCGUGGGGAGCGAACAGGAUUAGAUACCCUGGUAGUCCACGCCGUAAACGAUGGGCGCUAGGUGUGGGAGGUGUCGAUUCCUUCCGUGCCGAAGCUAACGCAUUAAGCGCCCCGCCUGGGGAGUACGGCCGCAAGGCUA